rnacentral:rRNA from 1 species
UUGCNGAGGAUGCUUUUGGCGCGGUGCCUUCCGAGUUCCCUGGAACGGGACGCCAUAGAGGGUGAGAGCCCCGUCUGGUCGGACACCAAGCCAGUGUAAAGCUCCUUCGACGAGUCGAGUAGUUUGGGAAUGCUGCUCUAAAUGGGAGGUAUAUGUCUUCUAAAGCUAAAUACCGGCCAGAGACCGAUAGCGCACAAGUAGAGUGAUCGAAAGAUGAAAAGCACUUUGAAAAGAGGGUUAAACAGUACGUGAAAUUGUUGAAAGGGAAGCGUUUAUGACCAGACUUGGGCCCGGUGAAUCAUCCAGCGUUCUCGCUGGUGCACUUUGCCGGGCUCAGGCCAGCAUCAGUUCGUCGCGGGGGAUAAAAGCUUCGGGAACGUGGCUCCCUCGGGAGUGUUAUAGCCCGUUGCAUAAUACCCUGCGGUGGACUGAGGUUCGCGCUCCGCAAGGAUGCUGGCGUAAUGGUCAUCAGCGACCCGUCUUGAAACACGGACCAAGGAGUCGUCUUCGUAUGCGAGUGUUCGGGUGUAAAACCCCUACGCGUAAUGAAAGUGAACGCA